rnacentral:rRNA from 1 species
CCUACGGGUGGCAGCAGUGGGGGAUAUUGCACAAUGGGGGGAACCCUGAUGCAGCGACGCCGCGUGGGUGAAGGAGCGUUUCGGCGCGUAAAGCCCUAUCGGCAGGGAAUAAGAUGACGGUACCUGACCAAGAAGCCCCGGCUCACGACGUGCCAGCAGCCGCCGUAAUACGUAGGUGGCAAGCGUCAUCCGGAUUGACUGGGUGUAAAGUGGGCGCAGACGGCAGGGCAAGCCAGGCGUGAAAGCCCGGGGCCCAACCCCGGGACUGCUCUUGAAACUGGAUGGCUUGAGUACAGAAGGGGCAGGCGGAAUUCCUGGUGUAGCGGUGAAAUGCGUAGAUAUUAGGAGGAACACCGGUGGCGAAGGCGGCCUGCUGGACUGUGACUGACGUUGAGGCCCGAAGGCGUGGGGAGCAAACAGGAUUAGAUACCCCUGUAGUC